AACGAACGCUGGCGGCGCGUCUUAAGCAUGCAAGUCGAACGGCAAGAUUUUGUAGCUUGCUACAAAAUCCUAGAGUGGCGGACUGGUGAGUAACACGUGGGUGACGUACCUUUCAGAUGGGGAUAGCUACUAGAAAUAGUAGAUAAUACCGAAUACGACCACAGGGGUUAGAGACCUGUGAGGAAAGGAGCUAAGGCUCCGCUGAAAGAUUGGCCGCGGCCCAUUAGCUAGUUGGUAGGGUAAAGGCCUACCAAGGCAAUGAUGGGUAUCCGGCCUGAGAGGGUGAUCGGACACAUUGGGACUGAGAUACGG
rnacentral:rRNA from 1 species